GUAGAGAUUUGGGAGGAACACCAGUGGCGAAGGCGGCUUACGGGCUGUAACUGACGCUGAGGCGCGAAAGCGUGGGGAGCGAACAGGAUUAGAUACCCUGGAGUCCACGCGGUAAACGAUGAAUGCUAGGUGUUGCGGGUAUCGACCCCUGCAGUGCCGGAUAAACGCAAUAAGCAUUCCGCCUGGGGAGUACGGCCGCAAGGUUGAAACUCAAAGGAAUUACGGGGGCCCGCACAAGCAGCGGAGCAUGUUGUUUAAUUCGAAGCAACGCGAAGAACCUUCCAGGUCUUGACAUCCAAUUAAACUUGUAGAGAUACAAGGUCUCUUCGGAGGAAUUGAGAAGGUGGUGCAUGGUUGUCGUCAGCUCGUGUCGUGAGAUGUUGGGUUAAGUCCCGCAACGACGCAACCCUUAUGGUCAGUUACUAACACGUAGAGGUGAGGACUCUGACAAGACUGCCGGGACAACUCGGAGGAAGGUGGGGACGACGUCAAAUCAUCAUGCCCCUUAUGACCUGGGCUACAACGUGCUACAAUGGUGACUACAAAGAGGAGCGAGACCGUAAGGUGGAGCGGAUCUCAAAAAGUCAUCCCAGUUCGGAUUGUGGGCUGCAACCCGCCCACAUGAAGUUGGAGUUGCUAGUAUCGCGGAUCAGAAUGCCGCGGUGAAUACGUUCCCGGGCCUUGCACACACCGCCCGUAA
rnacentral:rRNA from 1 species